AGCACCCGGAAGUGGAGGUCAAGUGUGAAGAGGCCUCUGGGAGGGCCUUGGGGCGGCCACCUGAGAUGCCCAGAGACUCCAACAUUGGGAGAGGCCAGCUCAGGCCUGCUGCCGCUGCUGCCCUCAGCCACCACAGGCCAACAGGCCCCUAAAGAGACAGCGGCCAGGCAAGCCGCAGGAGGGGAGAACCUGCUGCUGGUUGGCCAGCCCCCAGCCCCUUGCAGGGCCCAGCAGGUCAGAGGACAGCAAGACCACCACCCUCUAACUGCCCCCCCGUCCGUCAGCUCUCAGCCAAAUCUGAAAUGUAAUGGGGGUGGGGGACUUCCAAUUCCAGGAAGGGGACAAUGGAUAACAGCAGGACCCAACACAGACCCAGCAAGGCUUCUACAAACAGCACGCUGAAUCCCCAGAACCACCCUAUGAGGACAGCACUGACGUCAGUGCCACUCUACACCCCAAUGAAGUUUCUUCUUUACAAUUCUGAAGCCCGUCCCACAACUGACAACACAUCUUCCUUUCCAGAAACAUCCUGCCUUUCAGGCUGGUGUUACCGGUAACAACUGUGUCCUCGGCACUGACGUACAGGGGACACGGGUUUGAGCCCUGGUCCGGGAAGAUCCCACAUGCCACAGAGCA